rnacentral:lncRNA from 1 species
GCGGACCUUUUUAUUAUAGGCUCGCUCAUUCGUUUCUGGUACAUUUGCCCAUGACGAAUAGCUCUAAGCCUCUUUUCUUCUAUUAGGUUCAACUGAUCGUACCGAGAUUGGAUCCAAUUGGCUUCGUCCAACUGUAAUUCAGAUAGUACCCGUAGAGAGGGGAUUUCAACUUCAAUGGGUAAUACCGCCUCCAUUCCAUAUACCAGAGAAAAAGGUGUUGCUCCGGUAGAAGUUCUAACAGAUGUUCGAUAGGCAAGGAGAGAAAAUGAUAACUUCUCAUGCCAAUCCUUGUAAGUUUUAGUCAUUUUCCCCACGGUCCUUUUGAUGUUCUUAUUAGCCGC